GACGAACGCUGGCGGCGUGCUUAACACAUGCAAGUCGAACGGAAAGGCCCUGCUUUUGUGGGGUGCUCGAGUUGCGAACGGGUGAGUAACACGUGAGUUACCUGCCCUUGACUUUGGGAUAACUUCAUAAAACUUGAUCUAAUACCGGAUAGGAGCUCCUGCUGCAUGGUGGGCGUUGGAAAGUUUCGGCGGUUGGUGAUGGACUCGCGGCUUAUCAGCUUGUUGGUGGGGUAGUGGCUUACCAAGGCUUUGACCGGUAGCCGGCCUGAGAGGGUGACCGGCCACAUUGGGACUGAGAUACGGCCCAGACUCCUACGGGAGGCAGCAGUGGGGAAUAGUGCACAAUGGGAGGAAGCAUGAUGCAGUAACGCCGCGUGCGGGAUGACGGCAUUCGGGUUGUAAACCGAUUUCGCCUGUGACGAAGCGUGAGUGACGGUAAUGGGUAAAGAAGCACCGGCUAACUACGUG
rnacentral:rRNA from 1 species